UUUCCUCUAUGUAUUAAUCGGAUUUUUGAACUUGGAGUAUGGUGCUGGAGCUUGCUCCACCCUGCUCACGGGUUGUCCUGGUAUUGCAGUACCUCCAGGUUCGGCUCACGUUUC
rfam:Ciona savignyi cont_63677, whole genome shotgun sequence.